rnacentral:rRNA from 1 species
UACGUAGGGGGCAAGCGUUAUCCGGAUUUACUGGGUGUAAAGGGAGCGUAGGCGGCGAUGCAAGUCAGAAGUGAAAGCCCGGGGCUCAACUCCGGGACUGCUUUUGAAACUGUAUGGCUAGAUUGCAGGAGAGGCAAGUGGAAUUCCUAGUGUAGCGGUGAAAUGCGUAGAUAUUAGGAGGAACACCAGUGGCGAAGGCGGCUUGCUGGACUGUAAAUGACGCUGAGGCUCGAAAGCGUGGGGAGCAAGCAGG